UCCAAUCGAACCUGGAGAUAGCUGGUUCUCCCCGAAAUAGCUUUAGGGCUAGCCUUAAGUGUAAGAGUCUGGGAGGGAGAGCACUGAUUGAACUAGGGGUCCUCAUCGGAUUACCGAAUUCAGUCAAACUCCGAAUGCCAAUGACUAAUCCUUAGGAGUCAGACUGCGAGAGAUAAGAUCCGUAGUCAAGAGGGAAACAGCCCAGAUCGCCACCUAAGGUCCCAAAGAGAGUAUUAAGUG
rnacentral:rRNA from 1 species